UGGGGCCGAAGCGACUCUCUGGUCUGUAACUGACGCUGAGGAGCGAAAGCGUGGGGAGCGAACAGGAUUAGAUACCCUGGUAGUCCACGCCGUAAACGAUGAGUGCUAAGUGUUAGGGGGUUUCCGCCCCUUAGUGCUGCAGCUAACGCAUUAAGCACUCCGCCUGGGGAGUACGGUCGCAAGACUGAAACUCAAAGGAAUUGACGGGGGCCCGCACAAGCGGUGGAGCAUGUGGUUUAAUUCGAAGCAACGCGAAGAACCUUACCAGGUCUUGACAUCCUCUGACAAUCCUAGAGAUAGGACGUCCCCUUCGGGGGCAGAGUGACAGGUGGUGCAUGGUUGUCGUCAGCUCGUGUCGUGAGAUGUUGGGUUAAGUCCCGCAACGAGCGCAACCCUUGAUCUUAGUUGCCAGCAUUCAGUUGGGCACUCUAAGGUGACUGCCGGUGACAAACCGGAGGAAGGUGGGGAUGACGUCAAAUCAUCAUGCCCCUUAUGACCUGGGCUACACACGUGCUACAAUGGACAGAACAAAGGGCAGCGAAACCGCGAGGUUAAGCCAAUCCCACAAAUCUGUUCUCAGUUCGGAUCGCAGUCUGCAACUCGACUGCGUGAAGCUGGAAUCGCUAGUAAUCGCGGAUCAGCAUGCCGCGGUGAAUACGUUCCCCGGGCCUUGUCCA
rnacentral:rRNA from 1 species